GCAAGUUGAAUAGUCUAAAAAUGGAAGGGCUUAUAAAAAGGCUAACACCAAGAACCUUCUGAGUAUGAAACAAAUUGCUUUGAAAAGUAUGAAAUAAUGGUAGUCAAGAAGUAGUGUUUAUAUCCUACUGAAAACAUGUGGUGAGGUGAGAGAAUACAACAGGGCAGAACUGCUGUAAACACAGGAAGCGGCCGCCUAACCCUGCAAGUGGUUUUAACAACAGGGCUAAUCCAGAGCUGCUAACUCUACGAUCACCCGGGGAAGGCUAACAGAGACGGGAUAGAACUCCAGGGUUCACACGUAUGAGACACCAGCUGAUUCCAGCCUGGCAUUGCAAUGUUCUUUUCAAGAAUGUGAAUGCUGCAAUCUCUUGAACCAUAGCACCACAAGUCAUAGCACCACGAGCUGCACACUACAGAACUCUGGAGGGAAUCUGUCCAGGGAGCUCUUCAGCCUCCACUUCUAUGCUUCUGGCCCAAGAGUUCCUGAGCCCAAGAUCGAAGAUCUGGGCGGUGGAAGCCCCGGACCCCUCCAUCUGCCCACAACCGCGCACCUCCACCUUCGCGACAGCCUCCCAGGCCGCGGCUCACUUACGCCGGCCCUCCGUCUGUUUUUGUGGUUGAGAGGGACGGAGAAUCGCGACAAACUCUUCCUGCGGCCCCCACCUCCGCAGAGCUUCCGCUUCCGCUGCCUCUAGAGUCUUCCGAAGAAGUGUCAUCGGGGGAUGGGCCUGGGCGGGCCUCACUGCGUCCAUGUUAAGUGUGGCUCCAUCCCAGCAAAGCAGCCAUGUUAAGAGUGGCAUUUCCUGAAGCCUUUCAGCCUGCCCUUCUUCCGGUGACGUAAGGCUCCCCACCGGAAACGCCGGGAAUCUUAGCUACUGCAGUUGGUACCUUGCAGCUCUUCCGUGGUGCUGGUAACUCUUGUGAUCCUGGAUAUACACUGUCUCUCCUCUUCUUCAUUGGCAAAAUGAAUGGUGCAAUAAAAAUAUUUUCCAGCUACAAA